AUUGAACGCUAGCGGGAUGCCUCACACAUGCAAGUCGAACGGAGUGGCGAACGGGUGAGCAAUGUAUCGGAACGUGCCCAGUAGCGGGGGAUAACUACGCGAAAGCGUAGCAAAUACCGCAAACUCUUGGAGCGGCCGAUAUCCGAUUAGCUAGUUGGUGUGGUAACGGCUCACCAAGGCGACGAUCCGUAGCUGGUUUGAGAGGACGACCAGCCACACUGAGACUGAGACGCGGCCCAGACUCCUACGGGAGGCAGCAGUGGGGAAUGUUGGACAAUGGGGGAAACCCUGAUCCAGCCAUCCCGCGUGUGCGAUGAAGGCCUUCGGGUUGUAAAGCACUUUUGGCAGGGAGGCGGUACCUGCAGAAUAAGCACCGGCUAACUACGUGCCAGCAGCCGCGGUAAUAC
rnacentral:rRNA from 1 species